UCCGUAGGCGGGCAAUUAAGUCAGAGGUGAAAUCCCACAGCUCAACUGUGGAACUGCCUUUGAUACUGGUUGUCUUGAGUUACAGUGAAGUAGAUAGAAUAUGUAGUGUAGCGGUGAAAUGCAUAGAUAUUACAUAGAAUGCCGAUUGCGAAGGCAGUCUACUAACUGUAUACUGACGCUAAUGGACGAAAGCGUGGGGAGCGAACAGGAUUAGAUACCCUGGUAGUCC
rnacentral:rRNA from 1 species